ACAAUUUUCCCUAAUCUUUCUUUCUACUCUUUCCGUCGUUCAAACACAUCCUUCCUUUCGGAAGCCACAUAGAAGAUACAAAACUCUCCCCCUCCUCCUCUCGCAAGCCAUUAACGAUGCCACAAAAGUCUCGACCAAAUCCUUCACCCUUCGUCACGACAGUCGUUACACCCAUCGAUUUACUGCUAGGGCUCAAAAAAUAUUGAAAUCUUCCAAGAUUGUACUGAAUAAAGAGGAGAACGAUUCGUUUUUUUACUUGGUUUGAUUUAUGAGUUUUCUUCUAAAGAAUGUUGAACGAACCGUCUUUUUUCAUGUCCAAAGAACUCAAACUUCAGUCUUCUUUUUGUCCUUGUGUUAACCGAUUUUGGUGUGGGUUUCGAUUUCAUGUGCUAGGGCUCAAGUAAUCUUGAAGUCUUCUAAGAGUGUUCCUAACAUUCUUUUAGUUGGUUUGAUUUUAGGGUUUUCUUCUCAAGAAUGUUAAAGAACCACAUUUUUUUUCAGGUUCAAAAAUCUGGACUGUACUAUCCCAUGAAGGUUGAACGAACCUCUAAUUUUACCUCGUGUUUUAGAAUAUUUACAGGUUUUGUUCCACACCAUUCUUGGUUCUUUCCAUCUCCUAACUCAGAUUUAUCUUUUUGUGGUGCCCCUGUGCUCUUAAUCCACAUGGUUGUUGAUGAUUGAACGUAUAGAUAAAUGUCGCACCUUGGAAGAGGAAGUGAAGAGAGUGAAUGGCGAGCAAUGCAUAUCGUGAAAUAUAAUUGUCAAGCAUCCCCUAGUCGAAAUUAUAAUGUGAAAUGAACCUAGGGAAAGGAACAAUUACAUUAUCUCCCUCUAGCAACUUUGAAAUUGAAAAAAAGAUCAUACCCAUAUGUCCCUCAGGUGCCUCUUGUACUGAAGUUUCUUCGUAAAAUAUUGUUCUGCUAAAAAUAUUAUGUUUCAAAUGAAAGGAUGUAGUCCUAUGCUUUCAUACUCUGUUUUAUGUUCUGUAACAUUUACUUUAUUGACUAUAGUAUUUUUUUUAGUAUACCUGUAAGAAAUAACAAGUUACUUUCAUGUAAUUGUAAGUAUACCUGUAAGAAAUAACAAGUUACAAAAGCGGCAUAAGCUCUCUUGGAUUUGA